GGGUGUCGAGUGUUCGCCCCCCCCCCCCCCCACCACCUGGGGGUCUCCCCGGUCGGGACAGAAAUCCACGGGAGUCGUGUCACACCGUUGUCCGUGAGGGCAUCGGGACAGGCUGAAUGUGGGAAAGACGUGUGGAAUGAGGCUUGGAAACUGUGUCCCUUGUGGAGUGCGAGGGAACACCCGGAAAAGGAAAGGAACGGCUCGGUGUGGUGUGACCCCGGGCUGAUCCCGCCUCUCGAACACCUUUAGGCGGUUUGCUUAAAGUAUGAAGAUGGAAGCCUGGUGCCUGGAUGUCAGAAGCUCUUCUGUUGAUGCCACCAAAGAGUGAGGGUAUGAGAGACUUAGAACUGCUCAGAGACACUGCAUGGACUGAUGCCUCCUUUGCAUUACUUUGGAUUGGGCAUCUUGAUACAAAUCAGAUCGGUGCUAGGGAGAAAAGGAAAAGAGAAUGGCACCAAAAACACUCUGAGUGAAGAUCAGCCUGCCCAGUAAGUCUUCUUUUUGGAAGCUGAGCUAGGAAGCCUGGAGAAGACUAGAGAUAAUUAUGUGCUUGCUUCUUCUUUCCUGUUGGGAGUGCCUCCCUGACAAUAACUUGAAUCUAAUGACUGUUGAUUGCAAAGCAAGAGGAGCAGGUGAAGAACUUUUUGGGUGACUGCAUCCUUCUUGUAGGGAAUAUAAGCAGCACAGUCCUGAAAGUCUUGCUGCUGGAGGAUUUUCAUUAGCUCUAAUGGAACUUAAUGUCUCAUUUAUAUAAAUUUAAGUGUGUGCAAGUUUGUGUGUGAGUACUGAAAUACAAAUAUAUAUAUAUGCACAUAAGCAUACUGUAUUAGAUAAUAAUCCUAGAUAUUCUCUUUAUUGUUGAUAGCAUUUCUUUAUAUUGUAGAAUUCCACGUUUCUUAUGUAUGUAUCUGUCAAAUAAAGACAAAUAAGGAAGUUAGGUGAUACUAAGCACUUGAAAAAAACCAUAAAAACAAAAUUAAAAAAGACUUCAGGAGAACAGGAGGAAUUAUAAAUAGUUUUAGCUUAAAAGAUGCUGCUCUUACUCCACUUCUGAUCUGUGUUGCCUACUGAUACACAAUUUUCUCUUAAGCUUGAUGACCUCUGAGGAUACCAGAUUCUGCUUUGAAAAGGAUUUUUAAAUCAUCGUGGAUACCUCAACUAAUGUUUUUUCAAGUUUGCAGAAGUCAUUAAAAUGCAAACUCAGGUGAAAUAAAACACUCAUAUGAACAGAACAGCAAAGGGGGCAGUUUCCAUACAACAUGUAGUGAAUCCAUUCUAAACAUGCAUCUGGGAUCACUGCAGUUUCCUGUUUUCUUUCAGGCACUACUCCAUUCCAAAACCAUGCAGAAUGUCUUAGUAUUUACAUUGGUAAGCAUGUCCAGUGUUCAGUGUAUACCUCAAUAUAUUAUCUUGAUA